rnacentral:rRNA from 1 species
GACGAACGCUGGCGGCGUGCCUAAUACAUGCAAGUCGAACGCAGUGGGGACGGGGGAGCAACACGUGGGUAACCUCCCAUCAGAGGGGAUAACACUUGGAAACAGGUGCUAAACCGAUACUGAUGGAUGGACCCGCGGUGCAUUAGCUAGUUGGGGGGGUAACGGCGCACCAGGGCCACGAUGCAUAGCCGGCCUGAGAGGGUGAUCUGCCACACUGGGACUGAGACACGGCCCAGACUCCUACGGGAGGCAGCAGUGGGGAAUCUUCGGCAAUGGGCGAAAGCCUGAUCGAGCGAUGCCGCGUGAGUGAAGAAGGUUUUCGGAUCGUAAAACUCUUUUGUUAGAGAAGCGGUAUCUAAACAGAAAGCCACGGCUAACUACGUGCCAGCAGCCGCGGUAAUUC